rnacentral:rRNA from 1 species
AUAUCAGUCAUGCAUAGCAUAUCAAUAAGCGGAGGAAAAGAAACUAACAAGGAUUCCCUUAGUAACGGCGAGUGAAGCGGGAAGAGCUCAAAUUUGAAAUCUUCAAGGUUUUACCUUGACGAAUUGUAGUUUAAAGAAGUGUUUUCUGUUGAAGUUUUGGUAAAAGUUCUUUGGAAUAGGACAUCAUAGAGGGUGAGAAUCCCGUAUUUGACCAUUACUUUCAGCUUUGUGAUACACUUUCAAAGAGUCGGAUUGUUUGGGAAUGCAGUCCAAAAUGGGUGGUAAAUUUCAUCUAAAGCUAAAUAUUGGCGAGAGACCGAUAGCGAACAAGUACCGUGAGGGAAAGAUGAAAAGAACUUUGAAAAGAGAGUUAAACAGUACGUGAAGUUGUCAAAAGGGAAGCGUUUGACACCAGUGUUGUUUUCUCGAAAAUCAAUUAAAAAGAGUUGGAUUUUGUGUUGUAUUGACUUUAUCAGCUUUCUUCACCUCUUUUCCAGCUUUUUUUAAUGCACUUUUCGUUUAACAAGUCAACAUCAGUUUCUUUUGUUGUAAAAAGGUCAUUGGAAGGUGGCUUUCUCUUCGGAGAAAGUGUUUAUAGCCUUUGACUCAUGCAAUCGGAGAGACUGAGGUCUGCAGCGUAGAUCCUUCGGGGUUAGAUACAUUUGUGCUAAGUUAUAGCUUUUCAUAGACAACUUGUUGACUAUGUUUAGUCUUGUAGCUUACUCGCUUAUGCUAUUUUACCUACGCUUAGGAUGUUGAACUCUAUCACACACAG